AAUAUCCUGCUUGGUGCGUGCUGUGUCCGUUUGGACCCACAUCAUUUAUUCGGGACGCUUGACUUCCCGGCCGGAUUGCAGACCUCCCGCCCGCGCACAGACGUUGGGCGGAUGUUGGGAGCAGAGAACGCCGUGAGCGGCGACCCACCUGCCAAUUUCGUGCAGGUCAUAACCGGGCGCACACGGCCAAAGCGGGAGAGCG
rnacentral:other from 1 species